AUUGAACGCUGGCGGCAGGCCUAACACAUGCAAGUCGAGCGGAUGAAGGGAGCUUGCUCCUGGAUUCAGCGGCGGACGGGUGAGUAAUGCCUAGGAAUCUGCCUGGUAGUGGGGGAUAACGUCCGGAAACGGGCGCUAAUACCGCAUACGUCCUGAGGGAGAAAGUGGGGGAUCUUCGGACCUCACUCUAUCAGAUGAGCCUAGGUCGGAUUAGCUAGUUGGUGGGGUAAAGGCCUACCAAGGCGACGAUCCGUAACUGGUCCGAGAGGAUGAUCAGUCACACUGGAACUGAGACACGGUCCAGACUCCUACGGGAGGCAGCAGUGGGGAAUAUUGGACAAUGGGCGAAAGCCUGAUCCAGCCAUGCCGCGUGUGUGAAGAAGGUCUUCGGAUUGUAAAGCACUUUAAGUUGGGAGGAAGGGCAGUAAGUUAAUACCUUGCUGUUUUGACGUUACCAACAGAAUAAGCACCGGCUAACUUCGUG
rnacentral:rRNA from 1 species